CUGCAGAUUUGUUUGUCAUCCUUGUACAGCAAUCUCCUCCUCCACUGCCACUACAGGGAAGUGCAUCACAUGUCAGCAUACUGGAGCAUAGUGAAAGAGUCUAUUUUGAAGCUUCAAACGUAGUGCUGCUGCAGACCAGGAACAAGAGAGAAAGAGUGGAUUUCAGCCUGCACGGAUGGUCUUGAAACACAAAUGGUUUUUGAAUAUUUAAGAGAAAACCUUUUUGGCCGCUUUGAUAAUGAUAAUUUUUGUCUAUUGAAUGGUGAUGCUGUGAUUUUCAGGAUGUAAUGUAUGUAUCAUGGAAACUGGUAGAGAAAGAAAGAACUGAGAUCAUGCUGAAGUACACUGGGGCCCACCAAGAGGUAGAGCUGAGUGCACCAAUUGUCACCAAAAUGGCAACCCGUAAAAGAGAACCAUUCUUAAGAAAGAGUCAUGUACCAUAAAGCGGGGAUUUCCAGAAGCCUCUGAUAGUAACAGUUCUCCCUUCCAUUCCCUUCCUCUCUACUUUCAAGAUGCGAUGAUGACAAAAAGACUGACUUGUCAAAAAACCAUGAAAUUCCAUACAAAUGGGCAAGCUGACAUACAGCAGCUUCGGAAAUUUCCACAAUCGCUCCUCUGAGUUGCCUCAAGGAGAAGAAAAGUGAGAGAAAGGAAGGGUACCUUUGCCCCCAUUAAGGCACAUGUAGCAUCCUGGAAGCUUUGAAAUUACCUGUCCCCAAAGUUAUUAGAAUUAUGUCAUUUUUUGAUUGUUAUAUUAUGAAAGCCUCCCCACCCCUAAAAGUUUGUCUAUAAUAAUUUUUUUGAUCAGGAUUUUUACUUCUUAAAUUAAUAUUAAAGCAUUUUAAUGUUUCUAGAAA
rnacentral:sRNA from 1 species